rnacentral:rRNA from 1 species
UGGGGAAUAUUGCGCAAUGGGCGAAAGCCUGACGCAGCGACGCCGCGUGAGGGAUGAAGGUUUUCGGAUCGUAAACCUCUGUCAGAAGGGAAGAAACCGCACUGUGCUAAUCAGCAGUGCCUUGACGGUACCUUCAAAGGAAGCACCGGCUAACUCCGUGCCAGCAGCCGCGGUAAUACGGAGGGUGCAAGCGUUAAUCGGAAUUACUGGGCGUAAAGCGCACGUAGGCUGCUUUGUAAGUCAGGGGUGAAAUCCCACGGCUCAACCGUGGAACUGCCUUUGAUACUGCUUAGCUUGAAUCCGUGAGAGGGUGGCGGAAUUCCAGGUGUAGGAGUGAAAUCCGUAGAUAUCUGGGGGAACAUCAGUGGCGAAAGCGGCCACCUGGACCGGUAUUGACGCUGGGGUGCGAAAGCGUGGGGAGCAAACAGG